rnacentral:misc_RNA from 1 species
GCACGGCACGCCUGCGUCGCAACCUGACCAUCGAGGAUGUGGCCCAAAAGAUCGGCACCGGGCGCCAUAGCGUGUUCGCCGCGGAAAGCGGCAAACCAUCAACCAGCGUGGCAGUCUACACCGCGCUGCUCUGGACCUAUGACCUGCUGGGGCCAAUGGAAGGUCUUGCCGAACCGGCCACUGAUGAGACCGGGCUGGCCUUGGCCUCGCCCCGCGAACGAGCCCGCACCAGGAAGUCCGGGGACCUCGACAGUGACUUCUGAUUGUUUCGUCUAUGUCGUCCUCCCCGGCGAAACGGAAUUCGUGACCGCCGGGCGCUUUGCGCAUGCUAUCGAUCGGCAUGGGGUCGCAACGGGACGAUUCGUCUACGGCAAGAGCUACCUUGCCGGACAGAAUGCGGUGCCUCUCGAUCCGCUCGAACUGAAGCUCUCGAGCCGGACUUAUGAAACCCAGCUGCACAAGGGCAUUUUCGGCGCCCUGCGUGACGCCGGCCCCGAUCACUGGGGCCGUCGCAUCAUCGAACGCCGCUUCGGCUCGCCUGGACCGGAUGAACUCGACUACCUGCUGCACUCUCCGGAUGACCGGGCGGGCGCGCUCGGCUUCGGACUCAACCAGGACCCACCUGCGCCGAAACGAAACUUCAAUCGCACAAUGGACCUUCAGAAACUCCAGGCAUUCGCCGAUGCGAUCAUCAAUGACGAAGAGCUGCCGCAAGACGCUGACGCCGAACGAGCACAGGAACUCAUGGACGGCGGAACCUCGAUGGGUGGCGCUCGUCCCAAGGCCGUAGUCGAAGAUGAUCAUGCAUUGUGGAUUGCAAAAUUCAAUCGGCCCGACGACAAAUGGAACCAUGCCAGGGUCGAGCGCGCGAUGCUCGAGCUCGCCCGUGACUGCGGCAUCCAUAGCGCCGAAAGCAAACUCACCACUAUUGGAGAUCGCGAUGCACUGCUCGUCAAACGCUUCGACAGAGAGCGCAAGGAGUCGGGCUAUCGCCGCGCGCGAAUGCUCAGCGCGCUGACCUUGCUCCGCGCCGAGGACACGCACCAGGAUCGAUCGAAAUGGUCCUAUGUGUUGUUGGUCGAAGAGCUCCGCCGCAUCAGCAGCCGACCUAAGGUCGAUGCUCCCGAACUUUUUCGACGCAUGUGCUUCAACGCACUGAUAAGCAAUACCGAUGAUCACCCGCGUAAUCACGCGGUAAUCGCCAUGGAUGAGUCCUGGACCCUCUCACCAGCUUACGACCUUGUGCCGAACAUGCCGGUCAGCCUCGAGCGCCGCGACCUCGCCCUCGAAUGCGGCGAUAUGGGGCGUUACGCUCAUGCCCGGAAUCUGCUCUCUCAAUCAGCCCGCUUCCUCCUGGAACCGGACAACGCCACGGCCAUCGUCGAUGAAAUGGAGCAGACUGUCCGAAACCGCUGGUAUGAGAUUGCACGUCGCGAGGGCGUAAGCGAGAAGGAAUGCGAGACCAUUCGCUCCGCCUUCGCUUACGAAGGGUUUCGACUGCCGGUGGCCUGGCAGUAUGCGUAAGUUCCGGGCCAUUGUAGCCGGCUCCGCAGCAACGGCAGGCGCCGAUGCGCCCGAUCCAGGCGCAUAAUCCCCUCGCCGGUCGGGGUGGGGAGAACGCGCCAUGCCAGGCUUCUGGUCCGAGCUGAAACGUCGAAAUGUCGCGAAGGCGGCCAUCGCCUACGCAGCGAUCGGCUGGCUCUUGAUCGAGGUCUCCUCCGCCAUCUUCCCGAUCUACAAGGCGCCGGACUGGGUCCUGCAGGUGCUGGUCGCGACCAUCCUGCUCGGCUUCCCGGUGGCGAUGAUCCUGUCCUGGGUGUUCGACGUCACGCCCGCGGGCGUGGUGCGGACGGACGCCGUGGCCACCGAUACUUCGGCCCGGGCCUGGUCGCGUCGCCGGCUCGACGUCAUCAUCGCCGUCGCCCUGGUCGCGGCGAUUGCCGUGUUCGUCGCCGACCGGAUGUUCGAGACGAAAAGGCCCUGCCGAAACCGCGGACGCGAGCCCGCCCGCCGCCGCCAUGACCUCCGUCGCCGUGCUUCCCUUCGUCAAUUUGAGCGGCGAUCCCGAGCAGGAAUAUUUCGCCGACGGCCUCACCGAGGAACUCCUGAGCCGGCUGGCGCAGGUUCCGGACCUCAAGGUGCCCGCCCGUUCGUCGUCGUUUCACUUCAAGGGCAAGACGGACCUCGCGGAAGUCAAAGCCAGGCUCGGCGUCGCCACCGUGCUCCAGGGCAGUGUGCGCAUGUCGGGCUCCGCCUUGCGCAUCAAUGCAGAGCUCACCGACGUCAAUACCGGCUACAACGUCUGGUCGAAUUCCUACGACCGCGAACUGACGGACAUUUUCGCCGUGCAGGACGACAUCACGUCGGCGAUCGUCGCGGCGCUCAAGAUUCACAUGGACGACGCGGUCGCGGCGCGCAUCUCGAGCCAGCCGGUGGACCCCGGGCUCUACCAGCUGAUGCUGCGCGGCCGCUACCACUGGAACCAGCGCAACGAGGAAGGCUUCGCCAAGGCGGCAGAACUCUUCAACGAAGCGGUGA